ACUCAAAUGAAUUGACGGGGGCCCGCACAAGCAGCGGAGCGUGCGGUUUAAUUCGUCGCAACGCGAAGAACCUUACCAGGGCUUGAAAUGUUAGUGGUACCGAUCCGAAAGGUGAGGGACCCUUCGGGGAGCUAGCACAGGUGCUGCAUGGCUGUUGUCAGCUCGUGCCGUGAGGUGUUGGGUUAAGUCCCGCAACGAGCGCAACCCCUGUCGCCAGUUGUAUUCUCUGGCGAGACUGCCCCGUAAAGCGGGGAGGAAGGCGGGGAUGACUUCAAGUCAGCACGGCCCUUACGUCCUGGGCUACUCGCACGCUACAAUGGCCGGCACAAUAGGUUGCCAAGGAGCGAUCCGGAGCUAAUCCCCAAAGCCGGCCUCAGUUCAGAUUGCAGGCUGAAACCCGCCUGCAUGAAGGCGGAGUUGCUAGUAACCGCCGGUCAGCACACGGCGGUGAAUACGUUCCCGGGCCUUGUACACACCGCCCGU
rnacentral:rRNA from 1 species